rnacentral:rRNA from 1 species
AACGAACGCUGGCGGCAUGCCUAACACAUGCAAGUCGAACGGAUGGUUUCGGCCAUCAGUGGCGCACGGGUGAGUAACGCGUGGGAAUCUGCCCGGCAGUGGGGGAUAACCUCUGGAAACGGAGGCUAAUACCGCAUACGCCCCUAGGGGGAAAGGCUUGCUGCUGUCGGAGGAGCCCGCGUCGGAUUAGGUAGUUGGUGGGGUAACGGCCUACCAAGCCUGUGAUCCGUAGCUGGUCUGAGAGGAUGAUCAGCCACACUGGGACUGAGACACGGCCCAGACUCCUACGGGAGGCAGCAGUGGGGAAUAUUGGACAAUGGGCGCAAGCCUGAUCCAGCAAUGCCGCGUGAGUGAUGAAGGCCUCGGUUGUUAAAGGUACUCUUUCGUCCCACCGACGAUGAUGACGGUAGUGGGA